CCGGCCCCGUCAGCGCUGCUCCCCCGUGCCGCGUGUUGCCCUGGGCAGGGGCCUGCGCCGUGCCGCUGGCUCCCCGGGCAGCCCGGCCCUGCAGGACGCGCCUCUCGUCCAAGAGAACUAAGUGCGGCUCAGGGGCGAGAUGUGCCUUUUGGGGAGCACAGCGUGGUCACUCUAUCGAGCGGCCUCCUUACUUGGUCUUCCUUCGCGAGUAUCGCGUGAGAAUUGAGAAAAGUUGGGUCACAUCACCAUCAUUUGAACAGCUCGACUUUGGCUAGAAGUUCCAGGAGAAGCAAGCAAGUGUGCCAACCCUCUCCUUAUACGUUUCCUAGGGCAACGCAAGAAUGGUGGUAAAUUCUGUAGAAGUUCAAUGGGGCUGAGAAGGGUACAAUUUAAGAGCAUGGAGCAUUCUGGGGUGUGUAACUCUUUGUAUCAAAGUCAUGUGUGGGCCUCUCAUCCAACCAAAACUUCUGUAAGAAGGGAGACUGCAUUUCAGAAUAAAUCCUUCUCUGGGAUUCCGUGCCAAAAUUCAGGCUUUUUGUAGCAGUUGUACAUUAAGUACUUUUUGUUUUUUGAUUUAAAUUACUUAGAGGUAUCAAUAACUUCAUAAACAUUUCUUUCAUUGUAUAUAAAAACCUUUACAGCAAAAUACUACAUCUGUAAUAGUAGCAAAGAUUUAGAAAGUGAGUUGUAUAACUACUAUUAUAUAUAAUCUCACAUACAAAACAAAAGUUAUUACACAAAGGAAGGUACAAUAAAAUUAUGACUGUAGGCA
rnacentral:lncRNA from 1 species